GGGCAAUUAGUUCAGUGGUAGAACGCUGUCCUGAUAAGACAGAGGUCGAAGGUUCGAUUCCUUCAUUGCCCACUA
rnacentral:tRNA from 1 species